CCGAACACCCUGGGAAGAGCAAACAGGCCGAGGGAGAACAAAAAGGAACAUCUCCUUGUCUCAGCUGUGCACAUGGCUCCCAGCAUUCACAGUCCUACAAUAAAUAAAUCCAAUAAAAUUGUGUGAGGGACCCCAGAUGAUGCCAGACCCUGUUCAUCCAUCACCCCUGUCACGCAUCCCUGAACCCCCUCUAACUACUCCACAGCCCACAUCCCAGCAUGCAUAUUCACAGGAGCUGGUGUCCCGUCUGAGGGAACCAAAGUGCCCCGCCCCGUGUAUCUCUUUCCUUAUAGUCAAUAUUAAAAUGGGCUAAUAAAGAGGGGCAAGAUUCCCCCGUGGUAAUGGCUCCCCGGAGACCCCCCGACUAAUUAAAGGGCUGCCCCUUCCAAUGAACAGUAAUCACUCACAGCUCAGGGUAGACAAACACAUGAGCUUUGUGUGGACGAACAAACAGGGAUAAGAGCAUAAAGGGAUAACACACACACACACACACACACACACACACACACUGGUACUGGUCGAUACUUCUUUUGUUAUGAAAGAUUUUGUUAUCAAAGUUCCUUGAUGAA